UCUUACAAUAAUCUUCGAAACUACGAAUUCACCACACUUCAGAGGGCCAUUAACCUAGGUGGUGGUGGACCUAUUAUCGCUCUCGAAUAUUUGGUGGAUUCACAAAGAGUUGUGAUUGGGCAAGGGAACACAUUUUCUAGCAUGGAUAAGCAUGGAAAUUUCAUUGAUUUCAAGCGAGCAUUGCGUGCCAAGAGACGUACCCCCUGGCAAGCCGCAAUGGCGGCUACCCGUUUUCUAAGGAUGAGGACUUCAGAAAAGCACAGGCUAGGAAAACUAACAGUGUGUCCGCCAUCGUUAUAAGAAGGGUUAACUUUGAACAUGAUCAAUGUCAAGAUGGAAUUCUGAAAGUAGAUACCUCUUCAUUACUCAAGUCUAACCUUUUUGCAACUGUUAAUUGGAUAUAGUGAGUACACAGACAACUAAAUCAUGGGUGAUUUUGCAGCGACGAUUUGUAAUACUAGUCAUCACUCCGUGCAUCUGCAAUGCAUGGUCUAGAUAUUAAUUACUAACAAAAUUGUAGUAACAUUUAAAAUGCAAGAGUAUAAACUCUGGAUAUCAUACUAACGUAAAAU